rnacentral:rRNA from 1 species
GACGAACGCUGGCGGCGUGCCUAAUACAUGCAAGUAGAACGCUGAAGGAGGAGCUUGCUUCGCUGGAUGAGUUGCGAACGGGUGAGUAACGCGUAGGUAACCUGCCUGGUAGCGGGGGAUAACUAUUGGAAACGAUAGCUAAUACCGCAUAAGAGUAGAUGUUGCAUGGCAUUUGCUUAAAAGGUGCAAUUGCAUCACUACCAGAUGGACCUGCGUUGUAUUGGCUAGUUGGUGGGGUAACGGCUUACCAAGGCGACGAUACAUAGCCGAACUGAGAGGGGGGGCGGCCACACUGGGAGGGAGACCCGGCACAGACGCCCUCGGGAGGGAGCAGUAGGGAUACGUGGGCAAGGGACGGAAGUCUGACCGAGCAAGGCCGAGGGAGGGAAGAAGGACGUCGGGUGGGAAAGCUCGGUUGUAAGGGAAGAAAGAGCGUGAGAGUGGAAAGUUCACAGUGUGACGGUAUCUGAUCAGAAAGGGACGGCUAACUACGUG